AAUAGAUACCCGGGUAGUCCACGCCGUAAACGUUGGGCGCUAGAUGUGGGGACCAUUCCACGGUUUCCGUGUCGCAGCUAACGCAUUAAGCGCCCCGCCUGGGGAGUACGGCCGCAAGGCUAAAACUCAAAGGAAUUGACGGGGGCCCGCACAAGCGGCGGAGCAUGCGGAUUAAUCGUAUGCAACGCGAAGAACCUUACCAAGGCUUGACAUAUACCUGAAAAGGACUGGAAACAGUCUCCCCGUAACGGCAGGUAUACAGGUGGUGCAUGGUUGUCGUCAGCUCGUGUCGUGAGAUGUUGGGUUAAGUCCCGCAGCGAGCGCAACCCUCGUUCUAUGUUGCCAGCACGUCAUGGUGGGAACUCAUAGGAGACUGCCGGGGUCAACUCGGAGGAAGGUGGGGAUGACGUCAAAUCAUCAUGCCCCUUAUGUCUUGGGCUUCACGCAUGCUACAAUGGCCGGUACAAAGGGCUGCAAUACCGUAAGGUGGAGCGAAUCCCAAAAAGCCGGUCUCAGUUCGGAUUGAGGU
rnacentral:rRNA from 1 species